ensembl:lncRNA
UGCUCUUCAGUGAUGUGGAACGUAGCUGAGUGUAGCUGUGUUAGGGCACACACCUUGAGUGCCAGCAGGCAAGGGUAUUUCUUGGAACAGGAAAACUUAGCUAGAAGACGGUGUACAUUACAGGGGAGAAUGGAGUUUCAGGAAGAAUUCACCAGGCUUUUCAGAUUCCAGGAAGAACCUGACGUGGCAGAACAAAUGGUUUGCAAGAAGGAAAUGUUUCAUGUAGACAUAGAAGAAUAACUUCGUGACCCCAUGGGGUUAUCUUCUGAGCAGACAGACAUGCAGGAUGAUGACAAAGAGCCUUUCGAUCUCCCUGCCCACAGGAUGCUUGGAAGGGACCUCUUCCCUCUCACCAGAGAGCAAUGUGGACUGCCAGACCCAGUGUCUCAUAGACUGCAGGCAGGGACAUUACUACACAGCUGGCAACUGCUUGGAAUGUCCAGCGGGCUUCUA